rnacentral:rRNA from 1 species
AUUGAACGCUGGCGGCAGGCUUAACACAUGCACGUCGAGCGAGCGGCGGACGGGUGAGUAAUGUCUGGGAAACUGCCUGAUGGAGGGGGAUAACUACUGGCAACUGUAGCUAAUACCGCAUACCCUCAGAUGUGCCCAGAUGGGAUUAGCUAGUAGGUGGGGUAAUGGCUCCACUAGGCGACGAUCCCUAGCUGGUCUGAGAGGAUGACCAGCCAUACUGGAACUGAGACACGGCCCAGACUCCUACGGGAGGCAGCAGUGGGGAAUAUUGCACAAUGGGCGCAAGCCUGAUGCAGCCAUGCCGCGUGUAUGAAGAAGGCCUUAGGGUUGUAAAGUACUUUAAGCGGGGAGGCGUUACCCGCAGAAGAAGCACCGGCUAACUCCGUGCCAGCAGCCGCGGUAAUUC